rnacentral:rRNA from 1 species
GACGAACGCUGGCGGCGUGCUUAACACAUGCAAGUCGAACGGAAAGGCCCUGCUUUUGUGGGGUGCUCGAGUGGCGAACGGGUGAGUAACACGUGAGUAACCUGCCCUUGACUUUGGGAUAACUUCAGGAAACUGGGGCUAAUACCGGAUAGGAGCUCCUGCUGCAUGGUGGGGGUUGGAAAGUUUCGGCGGUUGGGGAUGGACUCGCGGCUUAUCAGCUUGUUGGUGGGGUAGUGGCUUACCAAGGCUUUGACGGGUAGCCGGCCUGAGAGGGUGACCGGCCACAAUGGGACUGAGAUACGGCCCAGACUCCUACGGGAGGCAGCAGGGGGGAAUCUUGCACAAUGGGCGGAAGCCUGAUGCAGCAACGCCGCGUGCGGGAUGACGGCCUUCGGGUUGUAAACCGCUUUCGCCUGUGACGAAGCGUGAGUGACGGUAAUGGGUAAAGAAGCACCGGCUAACUACGUG